rnacentral:rRNA from 1 species
AUUGAACGCUGGCGGCAGGCCUAACACAUGCAAGUCGAGCGAGUGGCGGACGGGUGAGUAAUGUCUGGGGAACUGCCUGAUGGAGGGGGAUAACUACUGGAAACGGUGGCUAAUACCGCAUACUAUCAGAUGUGCCCAGAUGGGAUUAGCUAGUAGGUGGGGUAAAGGCUCACCUAGGCGACGAUCCCUAGCUGGUCUGAGAGGAUGAUCAGCCACACGUGAACUGAGACACGGUCCAGACUCCUACGGGAGGCAGCAGUGGGGAAUAUUGCACAAUGGGCGCAAGCCUGAUGCAGCCAUGCCGCGUGUAUGAAGAAGGCCUUAGGGUUGUAAAGUACUUUCAGCGGGGAGGCGUUACCCGCAGAAGAAGCACCGGCUAACUCCGUGCCAGCAGCCGCGGUAAUAC